rnacentral:rRNA from 1 species
UACGGGGGGGGCAAGCGUUGUUCGGAAUUACUGGGCGUAAAGGGCUCGUAGGCGGCCAACUAAGUCAGACGUGAAAUCCCUCGGCUUAACCGGGGAACUGCGUCUGAUACUGGAUGGCUUGAGGUUAGGAGAGGGAUGCGGAAUUCCAGGUGUAGCGGUGAAAUGCGUAGAUAUCUGGAGGAACACCGGUGGCGAAGGCGGCAUCCUGGACCAAUUCUGACGCUGAGGAGCGAAAGCCAGGGGAGCAAACGGG